rnacentral:misc_RNA from 1 species
GAAAUGCGAUAAGUAGUGUGAAUUGCAGAAUUCAGUGAAUCAUCGAAUCUUUGAACGCACAUUGCGCCCUUUGGUAUUCCUUAGGGCAUGCCUGUUCGAGCGUCAUUUAAACCUUCAAGCUCAGCUUGGUGAUGGGUGACUGUCCUCCCCUCGCGGGGGGACUCGCCUCAAAAACAUUGGCGGCCGGUACAUUGGCUUCGAGCGCAGCAGAAACGCGGUCUCGAGCCCGGUGGAUCGGCUCCCAUAAGCCUCUUCUUUUAUUUUGACCUCGGAUCAGGUAGGGAUACCCGCUGAACUUAAGC